rnacentral:ncRNA from 1 species
AAUAUGGAGUAAAGCUUGCUGUGAGAAGUCAGCAGAGGUCAUAGUACCGUUUUUUUACGGGAAGGA